rnacentral:rRNA from 1 species
UACGGAAGGGUGCAAGCGUUACUCGGAAUUACUGGGCGUAAAGCGUGCGUAGGUGGUGAGUUAAGUCUGUCGUGAAAGCCCCGGGCUCAACCUGGGAAUGGCGAUGGAUACUGGCUCGCUAGAGUGUGGCAGAGGGGGGUGGAAUUCCAGCGUGUAGCAGUGAAAUGCGUAGAUAUGUGGAGGAACACCGAUGGCGAAGGCAGCCCCCUGGGUUAACACUGACGCUCAUGCACGAAAGCGUGGGGAGCAAACAGG